rnacentral:miRNA from 1 species
CUUCUAACCAUAGCCAAAAUCG